rnacentral:lncRNA from 1 species
CUUCCAGGCUGUCUACUAGCCACAGGAGCAGAAACAUGGAACACCAGACGCUGGGGAUGCUGGUACAAGUUGUGGGACUACAUGCUACUGCCUAGAGCUUGUCUCAAUGGAUCUGUGACAUUCUGGACUAUUUCUGUGUUUAUUUGUGGCCGAGUGUAACAACCAUAUAAUAAAUCACCUCUUCCGCUGUUUUAGCUGAAAAAAAAAAAAAAAAUACUCAGACACUCCGAUCUUCAAUGUCAGAAUUUUUAAAAACAUGACCAUGUUCUUUUAC